GGGGGGGUAGUUUAAUGGUAGAACGAGAGUCUCCAAAAUUUUUGGUGUGGGUUCGAUUCCCACCCUCCCUG
rnacentral:tRNA from 1 species